AUUGAACGCUGGCGGCAUGCCUUACACAUGCAAGUCGAACGGCAGCGCGGACCUCGGUCUGGCGGCGAGUGGCGAACGGGUGAGUAAUACAUCGGAACGUACCCUGUUGUGGGGGAUAACUAGUCGAAAGAUUAGCUAAUACCGCAUACGACCUGAGGGUGAAAGUGGGGGACCGCAAGGCCUCACGCAGCAGGAGCGGCCGAUGUCUGAUUAGCUAGUUGGUGGGGUAAAGGCCCACCAAGGCGACGAUCAGUAGCUGGUCUGAGAGGACGAUCAGCCACACUGGGACUGAGACACGGCCCAGACUCCUACGGGAGGCAGCAGUGGGGAAUUUUGGACAAUGGGGGCAACCCUGAUCCAGCAAUGCCGCGUGUGUGAAGAAGGCCUUCGGGUUGUAAAGCACUUUUGUCCGGAAAGAAAUCGCGCUGGUUAAUACCUGGCGUGGAUGACGGUACCGGAAGAAUAAGCACCGGCUAACUACGUGCAGCCGCCGCAGUAA
rnacentral:rRNA from 1 species